rnacentral:rRNA from 1 species
AUCUGUGCCAGUUCUUUUGACUGUGCCAGCUGAAAAUACGCUCAUGAUAAACAGUACGCAAGAAGACCCUAGAAAAUUAUUUUAAAACGUAAUAUAAAUACUAUUAUUUUGUUGGGGCGACAGAAUAACAUCUAAACUUAUUUUAAUUUAUUAAGAAUUAUUUAUAAUGAGAAAAUAAAUUACUCUAGGGAUAACAGCAUAAUUAUUUUAUAGUUUGUGACCUCGAUGUUGGAUUAAGGAGGGUUUUAUUCAUAAGGUAAAACACCAUGUUCUGUGCGAACAAACAACCCUUACAUGAUCUGAGUUCG